AACCCGUGAUGUGGAUAGAUAUUCAUCAGAUCCUUGAACCUCUCCCACGAAGCCUAAAAAGUCUCGUCACCCUUCUACAUAAACUGACUUAUCUGCUCUUGUAGGU